CUGGAGGUAUCAGAAGUGCGAAUGCUGACAUAAGUAACGAUAAAGCGGGUGAAAAGCCCGCUCGCCGGAAGACCAAGGGUUCCUGUCCAACGUUAAUCGGGGCAGGGUGAGUCGACCCCUAAGGCGAGGCCGAAAGGCGUAGUCGAUGGGAAACGGGUUAAUAUUCCCGUACUUGGUGUUACUGCGAAGGGGGGACGGAGAAGGCUAUGUUGGCCGGGCGACGGUUGUCCCGGUUUAAGCGUGUAGGCUGGUUUUCCAGGCAAAUCCG
rnacentral:rRNA from 1 species